rnacentral:rRNA from 1 species
UGGGAAUCUUGCGCAAUGGGCGAAAGCCUGACGCAGCCAUGCCGCGUGAGUGAUGAAGGCCUUAGGGUUGUAAAACUCUUUCACCGGGGACGAUAAUGACGGUACCCGGAGAAGAAGCCCCGGCUAACUUCGUGCCAGCAGCCGCGGUAAUACGAAGGGGGCUAGCGUUGCUCGGAAUUACUGGGCGUAAAGGGCGCGUAGGCGGAUCAGCAAGUUGGGGGUGAAAGCCCGGGGCUCAACCUCGGAAUUGCCUUCAAAACUGCUGAUCUAGAGUACGGGAGAGGUGUGUGGAACUCCGAGUGUAGAGGUGAAAUUCGUAGAUAUUCGGAAGAACACCAGUGGCGAAGGCGACACACUGGCCCGUUACUGACGCUGAGGCGCGAAAGCGUGGGGAGCAAACAGGAUUGGAUACCCUGGUAGUCCACGCUGUAAACGAUGAUUGCUAGUUGUCGGCAGGCAUGCCUGUCGGUGACGCAGCUAACGCAUUAAGCAAUCCGCCUGGGGAGUACGGUCGCAAGAUUAAAAACUCAAA